UACGGAGGGGGCUAGCGUUGUUCGGAAUUACUGGGCGUAAAGCGCACGUAGGCGGCUUUGUAAGUUAGAGGUGAAAGCCCAGGGCUCAACCCUGGAAUUGCCUUUAAGACUGCAUCGCUUGAACAUCGGAGAGGUAAGUGGAAUUCCGAGUGUAGAGGUGAAAUUUCGUAGAUAUUAGGGAAGAACACCAGUGGCGAAGGCGGCUCACUGGCCCGGUACUGACGCUGAGGCGCGAAAGCGUGGGGAGCAAACAGG
rnacentral:rRNA from 1 species